rnacentral:rRNA from 1 species
AAGCGGUGGAUUGAGUGUGGUUUAAUUCGAUGCAACGCGAAAACCUUACCACCUUUGACAUGGCAGGAAUCCUAAAGAGUAUUGGGAGUGCUCGAAAGAGAACCUGCACACAGGUGCUGCAUGGCUGUCGUCAGCUCGUGUCGUGAGAUGUUGGGUUAAGUCCCGCAACGAGCGCAACCCUUGCCAUUAGUUGCUACGAAAGGGCACUCUAAUGGGACUGCCGGUGACAAACCGGGAGGAAGGUGGGGAUGACGUCAAGUCCUCAUGGCCCUUAUAGGUGGGGCUACACACGCCAUACAAUGGCCGGUACAGAGGGUAGCCAACCCGCGAGGGGGAGCCAAUCCCACAAAGCCGGUCGUAGUCCGGAUCGCAGUCUGCAACUCGACUGCGUGAAGUCGGAAUCGCUAGUAAUCGCGGAUCAGCAUGUCGCGGUGAAUACGUUCCCGGGUCUU